UCCCGGCUUGGAGGCAGUUAAAUGCCGUCAUCGUGGGAAAAGGAAUUUUCUCCCAUGCACUGACAAGAUCAUCAGCGAGGUGAGACUCUGUCUUGCUGUCGGCAUACCAGUUCAUCCCAAAAGCACAGCCAGCGAGGCUGUUGGCAGUGCACCGUGUUCAGCUGUACAUCUCUUGGCACCCCUUCAUCCUCACGGGGGUCAAGCG